rnacentral:rRNA from 1 species
GACGAACGCUGGCGGCGUGCCUAAUACAUGCAAGUCGAGCGGAACUGGGGGAGCUUGCUCCUUCCAGUUUAGCGGCGGACGGGUGAGUAACACGUGGGCAACCUGCCCUGCAGAUCGGGAUAACUCCGGGAAACCGGUGCUAAUACCGAAUAGUUUGGCGCCUCUCCUGAGGCGCUACGGAAAGCCGGUUUCGGCUGUCACUGGAGGAUGGGCCCGCGGCGCAUUAGCUAGUUGGUGGGGUAACGGCCCACCAAGGCGACGAUGCGUAGCCGACCUGAGAGGGUGACCGGCCACACUGGGACUGAGACACGGCCCAGACUCCUACGGGAGGCAGCAGUAGGGAAUCUUCCGCAAUGGACGCAAGUCUGACGGAGCAACGCCGCGUGAGUGACGAAGGUUUUCGGAUCGUAAAACUCUGUUGUGAGGGAAGAACACGUACCAACUAACUAUUGGUACCUUGACGGUACCUCACCAGAAAGCCACGGCUAACUACGUGCCAGCCGCCGCCGUAA